GUGAAAUUGGCUACAGGCCAAAAUAGCAAAGACUUUAAAAUUUCUACUUUUAUGUAGUACAGGUUUUCCAUGGACAAAUGAAGGGUAAUUUUCAAACAAAAGCAAAAUCCAAGACCAACUUUGAAUCUCCCAUCUCAUCCCUUUUCCCAUCUUCAUUUGAGUCUCUGUUCUAAAUUUGGUUAACAGAAUGCUGGGAGAAAUAGCAUAUAUUUUUGAAAUAAAUGCACUGCCUCCAUCUCAAUGGUACAGAAUUCACAAUGAUAGCUUGAUGGUGGCAGUUCUAUCACUGCCAUGCUUCAAAACAACCACUGAAGAAUAUAGGCAUAGGAAUUAGAAAAGCCAUGUAGAAUCCUAUGAAUAACUACAAAUAUGUCAUCUAGAAAGAAACAAGUGAAAUUCAUUUUCAACAUGUUCAAAAGACCGAUGAAGUAGAAUAUUUGAAAACUUGAAGAGUGAAAUCCAUAAACUGUGAUAAUAUUGUUUGUCAUGGCCAAAAAACAAACAAUGCACCAUAUAUUUUUGAAAUAAAUGCACUGCCUCCAUCUCAAUGGCAACACAAGCGAGCUUCUAGUCCUUCCCAAAAUCAGCAUUAUAAUGUGCACUUGAUUCAAGUUUCUUUGCCUCGUUAAGCUUCCUGACAGCCUUCAUAAAAUCUUCAUGGAUGACAUAAUCACGUUCAGCUCGGAUUGCUGACAUUCUUGCUUCGGUGCAAACAUUGCGGAGAUCAGCUCCAUUAAAACCCUCUGCAAGUUUCACAACAGCCUCAUAGUCAAUCUCCCCAUGCUUGGCAAUGCCAGCAGCAUGAAUCUUAAGGAUUUCCAUUCGUGACUGUUCAUUUGGCAGUGGAAUCUCUAUUUUUCUAUCUAAUCG
rnacentral:misc_RNA from 1 species